CAGCAGCCGCGGUAAUACGAAGGGGGCUAGCGUUGUUCGGAAUUACUGGGCGUAAAGCGCACGUAGGCGGUUAUUCAAGUCAGAGGUGAAAGCCCGGGGCUCAACCCCGGAACUGCCUUUGAAACUAGAUGACUAGAAUCUUGGAGAGGUCAGUGGAAUUCCGAGUGUAGAGGUGAAAUUCGUAGAUAUUCGGAAGAACACCAGUGGCGAAGGCGACUGACUGGACAAGUAUUGACGCUGAGGUGCGAAAGCGUGGGGAGCAAACAGGAUUAGAUACCCCCGUAGUCCCUGUCUCUUAUAC
rnacentral:rRNA from 1 species